UACGGAGGGUGCAAGCGUUGUCCGGAUUUAUUGGGUUUAAAGGGUGCGUAGGCGGCCUAUUAAGUCAGAGGUGAAAUCCCGGAGCUCAACUUCGGAACUGCCUUUGAUACUGGUAGGCUUGAGUACAGACGAGGUAGGCGGAAUUUAUGGUGUAGCGGUGAAAUGCAUAGAUACCAUAAAGAACACCGAUAGCGAAGGCAGCUUACUGGACUGUAACUGACGCUGAUGCACGAAAGCGUGGGUAGCGAACAGG
rnacentral:rRNA from 1 species